rnacentral:rRNA from 1 species
UACGGAAGGGGGCUAGCGUUGUUCGGAUUUACUGGGCGUAAAGCGCGUGUAGGCGGGCCGGUUUAAGUUGGGGGAUGAAAGCCCGAGGCCUCAACCUCGGAACUGCCUUCGAAAACUGGCGGCCUGGAGCAGAUGAGAGGCGAGUGGAAUUCCGAAGUUGUAGAGGUGAAAUUCGUAGAUAUUCGGAGGAACACCAGUGGCGA